rnacentral:lncRNA from 1 species
CUAUUGCGAAGUUUCCAAUCUACUACAGUCGACCCCUUUCCGAACAUCAUGCGAUAUCCGGCAAUCCGCUCAUCGGAUUUCUUAACGGAUUGCGCCAUCGUGUUCAACAUGACGAGGGCAUCUAAACUACAAUUUCAUUUCAUUCAUUUCGCCCGCUGAUUUGCUACAAAAUCAACCCUCUUGGUUCCACCAUAUAACACACACACAUAUAUAUAUAUACACCAUAUAUAUAUAUAAUCCAAUGAAACCCAUUUUUCUCGAAAAUCGUGCAUCAAAUCAGAAAUCCGCCAGU